CCUACGGGAGGCAGCAGUGAGGAAUAUUGGUCAAUGGGCGGGAGACUGAACCAGCCAAGUCGCGUGAGGGAAGACGGUCCUAUGGAUUGUAAACCUCUUUAGGCGGGGAGCAAUGCCGGGCACGCGUGCCCGGAGGGAGAGUACCCGCAGAAUAAGCAUCGGCUAACUCCGUGCCAGCAGCCGCGGUAAUACGGAGGAUGCGAGCGUUAUCCGGAUUUAUUGGGUUUAAAGGAUGCGUAGGCGGAUUUUUAAGUCAGCGGUAAAAUGUCCGGGCUCAACCCGGGCCGGCCGUUGAAACUGGUGAUCUUGAGUGGGCGAGAAGUAUGCGGAAUGCGUGGUGUAGCGGUGAAAUGCAUAGAUAUCACGCAGAACUCCGAUUGCGAAGGCAGCAUACCGGCGCCCGACUGACGCUGAGGCACGAAAGCGUGGGGAUCGAACAGGAUUAGAUACCCUGGUAGUC
rnacentral:rRNA from 1 species